rnacentral:rRNA from 1 species
AACGAACGCUGGCGGCAUGCCUAACACAUGCAAGUCGAACGAGACCUUCGGGUCUAGUGGCGCACGGGUGCGUAACGCGUGGGAACCUGCCCUUAGGUUCGGAAUAACUCCCCGAAAGGGGUGCUAAUACCGGAUAAUGUCUUCGGACCAAAGAUUUAUCGCCUUUGGAUGGGCCCGCGUUGGAUUAGCUAGUUGGUAGUGUAAAAGCCUACCAAGGCGACGAUCCAUAGCUGGUCUGAGAGGAUGAUCAGCCACACUGGGACUGAGACACGGCCCAGACUCCUACGGGAGGCAGCAGUGGGGAAUAUUGGACAAUGGGCGAAAGCGUGAUCCAGCAAUGCCGCGUGAGUGAUGAAGGCCUUAGGGUUGUAAAGCUCUUUUACCCGGGAUGAUAAUGACAGUACCGGGAGAAUAAGCUCCGGCUAACUCCGUG